CAUGGUUGGAAGACACAAGAACGAUCACGGGUGAAUUUUUAACGCAGAUGUGACAGAAAAUCAUUAUCAGGAUCAAUUUUCCAAAUGCACCUACACAGUGGGCCAACCAAACACAUUUCUUCAGCAAAAGGCCAAGAAGAAAAAUCUCUUUAAUAAAGGUUGUUCAGUGAUUAAUAUCAAUAAGCUGGCCUUGCUUAGUAAAUGACAUUUAAUCACACUUUGAUUAAUCGUCUAUAAACAUUUAUUUUGAGUUACUUUACAUUCUCCAAGCACCCUCAACAGUUUUGAGUUAUUAUUUAAUAUUCUAUUGACAAGAACAAUCACCUAAAACAUAUAUUGUUAUAUAAUAAGGAGAAGAAUUGUGCGGGCUAAAUGAAACGCAGCAUUCAUUGCCUCUUAAAUAAAGUAUUUUCUAAAGGGUUGUUCAAGUUGUCAUCACAAAUAUGUGUUGAGUUUAUGUAUGUUUUGAUAAAAACUUUAACGCUUUUCUGCUGUUAGUUAUAUCUGGCACAAAAAAAAAAGAAGUUUGUGUGUCUUUGACUAUUUAUUCCUAAACUAUAUCUACAGGUAUUACCACUAUCCACUGAAUCUCAUCUCAACAUUGCUCUGCACUGAGAUUGCCUUCAGUGUUGCUUCCCCACACCGUCCCAUUGGUUUCACCAAAAGCUGCGUGACAUUGGUAGAAAAGAUUUGUUUUUCAACGGGCACAAGUCAAACCAGCAACCUUGCUGCUCAACCAACAAAUGCAUUUUUCUUGCAAAAGCUUGUUAAUAAUAUAAUAUUGUCAAAAAUGAUUGUUACAAAAAAAUAAAUCAACCAAACAUACAUUUAAUUACUUCUUGUUUAUUUAAUCUUUAAGGGUAGUUAUUAAGGAGGAAGCACAUUUUCUUAUGAAUUUAUUUAUAUACAGCACCCUCCAGAGUUUUUGGCACCUCUGAAAAAAAUGUGUAGACAAGUCAUUGUAUAAAUAAGCAAAUAAAUAUCAGAUGGCUGGAGGAUAAUCUCGUACUGAAAAAAUAUAUACUUUUCUAUUAUGUCACCUUGACUUUGUUUUACUUUACUUUUUAAAAAUGGAUUGGAUUGUCUAGCAACUUUUUAUUCAGUAUUUUAUCUUUCUGUUUCCCCGAGGUAGAGAUAUGAUCUAACACCGAUGCUCCUCGUCACUCUGCAAAAUGGGAAAGAAAAGAGAAGGUGCCAUUCAAGGGUCAUAGAUAUAUUUUAAACUGAUCAAGAAAUGGUGUCAAGAAAAUAAUUAACUGGCUUCAAGCACCUUUAUCAAUGGUCAAGGUGAUAAUUUUAAAAUAAAACUGAAAAUGUUGCUAAAAGAAAGAUGUUUUUUGUUUUCCAAGUGAGGGGGAUGGCAGGAGAUGUCAAAAAAAAUCUCCAUAGCUCACACUUGGGGAAGAGUCAAAGUCUUUAUAACAAAGGGACUUUGAGCCACAUCUCUACCAGGGGGGAAAAUAAGGAUACUGCAUAUUAUUGUUUCAUUCAAUUGUGCAACUUUUGUUGUAAGAUAUUUGCUAUUUUCAUUAGACAAUCCCUUAAAAGCUUGUUUUAGCCCUUUGAAGUAGUUUUUUUUUAUUUCCUUGAAUUUAAGCCUAAACCAACUAAAAAUAAGAAAAAAAAAAAACAAAUAUAAAAU